rnacentral:rRNA from 1 species
AAAGCCUGACCCAGCAACGCCGCGUGAAGGAUGAAAUCCCUCGGGAUGUAAACUUCAUAAGAACGGGAAGAAUAAGUAAGGGUUAAUAUCCCUUGCGAUGACGGUACCGUUAGUAAGCUCCGGCUAACUCCGUGCCAGCAGCCGCGGUAAUACGGGGGGAGCAAGCGUUGUUCGGAUUUACUGGGCGUAAAGGGCGCGUAGGCGGCCACCGCAAGUCGACUGUGAAAUCUCCGGGCUUAACCCGGAAAGGUCAGCCGAUACUGCGGGGCUAGAGUGCAGAAGGGGCAACUGGAAUUCUCGGUGUAGCGGUGAAAUGCGUAGAUAUCGAGAGGAACACCUGCGGCGAAGGCGGGUCGCUGGGCUGACACUGACGCUGAGGCGCGAAAGCUAGGGGAGCGAACGGGAUUAGAUACCCCGGUAGUCCUAGCCUUAAACGAUGAAUGCUUGGUGUCUGGGGUUACAUAGUCCCCGGGUGCCGCUGCUAACGCUUUAAGCAUUCCGCCUGGGGAGUACGGUCGCAAGACUG